GAGAGUGGCGAACGGGUGAGUAAUGCGUGACUAACCUGCCCUGUACUUUGGAAUAGCUUCUGGAAACGGGUGGUAAUGCCGAAUGUUCCACAUGAUCGCAUGAUGGUGUGGGAAAGGGUUUACUGGUAUGGGAUGGGGUCGCGUCCUAUCAGCUUGUUGGUGGGGUGAUGGCCUACCAAGGCUUCGACGGGUAGCCGGCCUGAGAGGGUGACCGGCCACAUUGGGACUGAGAUACGGCCCAG
rnacentral:rRNA from 1 species